rnacentral:rRNA from 1 species
AUGGGGACGGAAGACGGAACUGAUGAUGAAGAAGAAGAGGAUGACGAAAAAGAAGAUGAUGAAGGAAAGGAGGACGAUGAGGAUGAAGAAGGCGAUGGGGAUGGCAAAGACAAGGAAGACGAUGGGCAAGGGAAGCAGGAUGAAGAUGAUGAAGAUGACAGCGGAGGUGGCAACGGUGGUUCAGGCAGCAACGGUGGCUCCGAUCGGGACGAGGAUCCCGUAGAUGAGGAGACAGGCAGCGAUGAUGAUGAACAAUGCACGCUGCAAUUUCUGAUUGAAAAGAAGAAGGACAGAAAGGCAAAAGGAUUGGAUGAGGCAGAUAGCAUCUCCAAUGGUAUCCAGAGGGCCAAGGUGCAAGACUUCAAGGCAUCACCCGAGGCUCGAUCAUUAAAUCAUGCAGGACACAAAAAGGAGAAAGAGAACAUUCCUCCGGUCCUAUGUACGGAGAUCAAUAGGAUACAACACCCGCCCGAAGGUGUAACCAAUGGAAAAAGUCUGGAACAAAAGUUGCUAAGAGCCCUAGGGAAAUUGCCUGUCUACCAAACUAUACUUGCCCAACCUGAGGCCACUAGUGUUCCAGAAGCAGUAACCAUGGGAAAAAGUCCGGAAUAA